rnacentral:other from 1 species
AGAACCCUGCUGUGUACGUGGCGAUCCGCCAGGUUUUGAGCCAACACCACAACCUAGGGAGCCUGGACUCUGAACGCAGCGUAUACGCCCCCGCCGGUAUGGUGCCAGGGGACAUACAAAGCCUUCAGGAGGGCACCCACCUGCUGAGAGCAGGUUCAAAAAAGCGGUGAGUACGGCAUGGCGGGGAUCUU